AGCUGAUGCGCAUGACGGUCUACUCCCAGUUCCGUUGCAGCAGCUGUUCCCCUCUGGAGGUUUAUUGACCUUCACACUUCAUGGGCCGCGGUGACGCUGGCCCAUUUUU
rnacentral:sRNA from 1 species